rnacentral:lncRNA from 10 species
CACCAAUCAAGCAGCUGUCUUCUUUCCCGUGUCUAAUCAGACAAGGGUCAUCUGUCACAGAACUAUCCAAUCAGCAUUAAGGUGCCGAGUACAAAAGGCUGCUCAAAGAGAGAGUUUUUCUGACCAACAACAUUCUACUUUAUUGAGGAUUUGGAUGUGAGAGAGAUAUAUAUAUGGAAAGCUGACAUUUGGCUGUGGGAGCAGAAGUAAAAAGAGACACGGCGAGACGGACCUGAGGUUAUAAAGACUGUGACUUCUGCCUUGCUGAUAUUCUCUCUCCCUGGGUCAUCUCCUGUGCUUGCUUUGAUGGAAAGACCUACCAGGAAAGCCUCUUGCAAACAGCCAGCAACAAAGUGAGGUUCUCAGUCCAGUAGCUUGUGAGAAACUGUAUCAUGCUAGCAACCAUGGAGUGAAAUUGGAAGUGGAUGCUACUUCAGUUGAAUGUUAAGAUGACUGCAGCCUGGGCUGACACCGUAAUAACAGUCUCAUGAAGACUCUGAGGCAGAGGACCCACCUAGAUGAACUGUGCCUGAAUUCUUGACCUACAAAAACUGUGAGAUAUUAAAUAUGCAUCAUUUCAAGUUGCUAAGUUUUGCAUUAACAUGUUAUGCAGCAACAGAUAACUAACACAACAGUGUUUAUCUUUUGUAUAAUAAGCAAAACUAAAAAAACUUUUUUUUUUAAAUAAGAAAGAUACAAUGGGAAGGAUAAAUUAGCAGCAAAAAGUCAAGAUGUAUUUGAAAAAUUAUUAUGAAGUGGAUUGAAACUGCAUGACCUGAUUGUCCUUAAUGAUGUCCAAGUAUACAAAUGUAUUUUAUUUUGGCAUAGCCUCAUAAACUCAUAGUAUGAAUUUUCAUACAAAUUUGCUGGAAAUUAGUAAUUCCAAUUUAUAAUAAUUCUUGAAAUAUGUAUAUUUUGAUAUUUUCUGGUGAGAUUUUGGCCAUCAGCUCUAUGAAGCAUUUGUUUUUGCAGGUAUUCUGAACCACAGAAGGCUGACUUGUUCUGCUUCAUAAUGACUUGACUUUGGUCAUUGAAAAAUGCUUGAGCUAAAGGAAGUCCAUAGUCCCUAUUUAUAUUCAGCUUUUACUAAAACACAUUUAUGGCAGAAAUUUAACAAGGAUUUAAGUCUUUGAGAAAAUUUUUUGUUUUAAAGAAUGAAGAAACUACUACACAGUGAUUCUUUUCUUUCACUGAAGCUCCCAAUAAAAAAUAUAUACAAUUUACAAAUUAGGCUUCAAUAUUCCUUUCAUAAGAUCUAACAACUUG